UCCGAAUUCGGGCCAUCGGUCUACCGAGCAAUACCAAGCCCGCUCCGUGGAAGAUCUUCCGUUUGACGU
rnacentral:pre_miRNA from 1 species